AGUGAACGCUGGCGGUAGGCCUAACACAUGCCAGUCGAACGGCAGCACAGUAAGAGCUUGCUCUUACGGGUGGCGAGUGGCGGACGGGUGAGGAAUACAUCGGAAUCUACUUUUUCGUGGGGGAUAACGUAGGGAAACUUACGCUAAUACCGCAUACGACCUACGGGUGAAAGCAGGGGAUCUUCGGACCUUGCGCGAUUGAAUGAGCCGAUGUCGGAUUAGCUAGUUGGCGGGGUAAAGGCCCACCAAGGCGACGAUCCGUAGCUGGUCUGAGAGGAUGAUCAGCCACACUGGAACUGAGACACGGUCCAGACUCCUACGGGAGGCAGCAGUGGGGAAUAUUGGACAAUGGGCGCAAGCCUGAUCCAGCCAUACCGCGUGGGUGAAGAAGGCCUUCGGGUUGUAAAGCCCUUUUGUUGGGAAAGAAAGGCAGCAGGUUAAUACCCCGCUGUUCUGACGGUACCCAAAGAAUAAGCACCGGCUAACCUCGUG
rnacentral:rRNA from 1 species